rnacentral:sRNA from 1 species
GAUUGUGCAUGUGAUCUGACAGUGACAUCUUCCACUCAGUUGAUCGCUGUGGUUGAUGGUCCCAUCUGACUGGCUAGACGGGCGCCCCCAUCCUCCUUCACCUCUCCAUGUACAUCCUUCUCCAAGUGACAUGCUCAAUCAAAGAGGGUGGCUUUCCCUGACAGAGGAGGACCUGUCUUCUGUCAGGGUCGAGGAUGUGUAAGUAAGAGCAUGCUUCUGGUGGAACCCCAAGCAGGUUCUCAAGGAACUAGACCUUCCGACCAUAGCCUUGUAGCCCCAGUGAAAGCUCCCUACCUUCAGAGGCAGUGUCAACAGAGUCCUUUCUGUGUU